UGACACAAUCUGAUCCGGGUGUCAAGAUAACGUUAGCGGGUUCCAGUCGCUAUGUCAUCUCGUCUGUCUCACUACAGCGAGAGCAGAGACGCCGCUGCUUCCUUCAGCUUCGCAGAUGCACUGCUGCUGCGCCAGCUAGUUCCUACAGGAAGAAACGUUGAAUGGAUUCCUCAUAAGGAGGCCGUGUAUUCCAGCUGCAUUCAUAGUUUUGCAAUAUCCAAUCGGUCCACUUCAAAAUAUACGGUUAUUUACAUGCACACAAAAGGAGUCAGCAUGUAUGUAUUCAAUUCAGAGAACCAUUGUACAUCUGUUCAAUUAAAGACAGAUGUGUGUGUAAGAGCUACAGAUGGGUUUAUCUUUGACAGGUUAUUUAUCUGACCUUUGAGUGGAUCAACGUUUGCAGAUAAACAAUCAAUAAUCAACCUUAGUUGCACAUUAUCAGAGAUUCCUGGUAUGUUUGUAGGGUCAGGGUCCUGACAUUUAACAGCCUUGCAAGCCUUGAGAUGUAUUGGAGGCUUGUAGAUUACACGGCAAUCAAUGCAACACUGUUCAGGCUUUGUAACCCAUGUCUGACCUUUAUAAUUUAGGGCAUGUUAAAACUGUAACUGCCACGAGCACUGUUUCUACUAAAUCUGUACAAGAAGUAGUUCAGGGAGACCAGUUAGAAAUUUGUCUUCAUUGUGUUGUAACUUAAAAUGGGUCAGUAGAAUAUCUCCUUUUGUUCUGCUGUACUACAUCGUUAUACCCAUUGUGUAUAAUUUGCAAAACAAAUACUGUGUCCAUAUCUAGUAGUUUACUCAAAGCUUGAGUAGUAAGAUCUUGAUCAGUGUGCAGAUACUUGCUGUGUAUACAACACACAAAUAUGGGAUACAUACCUGCCAAUUGUAGGUGAAACAAAUACAUAUAAAAACAUUUAAAAGCAAAAAUCAUCAGUUUAGUACAUAAACCUGAGUGAGCUUUGUUUAGUGGGAGAUAAAACCUUUUCAAGUAAAUAAUGUGAUAGAUUUAAGAGAGAUAACGUGUUGCUGUGUAAAAUACCUUAAAGGUUACAAAACAUUGUCAACCUCCUCCACCGUUGGUCCGUUUACGACUGGGUGGCGAUGUUGAUGAAGAGAGAUUUCUGUUAAGAGAAAUGUGUAACUUUUAAUGGAGUCAUUUAAAAUUCAGUGAAGUGCUGUAUUGAUGUUAAACAGACUUCAGUGAGAGGAAUUAUGUACGUUACAGUUGUAGUCACCAGACAUACAGUCGUCAGGUUGGAAUAGGAGCAGUCUUGUGUCAAGUGUAACAUUGAAUGAAACACAUUUGUCAUACAUUACAAGAAAAUUUCUACUACAACUGAAAAGACCUUUAUUUUGUGUAUUAGGAUGAACCUUUUUAAUGUACCUACUUCACUUAUGCGUUUUCAUAUUUCACUCAGUUACUUUCAUUAGUGUGUAGAGAAUGUGUCUGAACCUGUUGUGUUCAACUUUACUAUACACAGUGAAGCUGACAAUGCGGACAUAUAAUGAGCAAGAUAACAAGUUUGUCAACUUAAGAAACAGUAAUAGAGUUGCGCCUCUUACCAAACACAGAGCAUGUGUUUCUGCUGCUGCUGUCAGUGGAGAGAAGUAGUUUCUCUUUGCACCAUUUUUAAAGUCAAAGAUGUCACUUGUAUUCAGAAAGGUGGAUAGGAGAAUACAUAAUGUAAUACGAUCCUGCCCACUGUCAGCACUAAAUUUAUUAAAUAGCUGGAUUUCGGUCAAGUUAACUUUGUCAGGCAUUUCUUGACCGAAACUGCUGAGUAUAUUUACCAUAAGUGUUGACAGUGUGCAGGAGCUCUGAUUGUCUGAUUACGAGAUGUUGAUGACAAACCUUUAUGGUUUCCACUGUUUUAGAUUGUUGGGAAACUUUCAUGUAAAUUCUGUUGUAGCUUUGCUAGAGUUAUGUUGACGUUAAGUCACAUUGUCCACAUUUGGACAGAUAUCCAUGAAAGAUUCCUCCACGAGCAGUGUCUAUGUUUACCAGUGGAUUUUUUUCCUGAUCUAUUGUUACUGGGUCAUGCAGCAAUGUGAACAGGUAUGCAUCCGACUACCUGAUGAUGAAAACAGCUUCAUAUUUCUAUGAGAACAAAUACUGUCCUGCUUUCAGAAAGGUCUGAAAUGUAAUUUUCUAUGUCACUGGAUGCUAAUUUGGUCACAUAUAAACGAACUGUGAGUUUCCA